rnacentral:rRNA from 1 species
CCUACGGGCGGCAGCAGUGAGGAAUAUUGGUCAAUGGCCGCAGGGCUGAACCAGCCAAGUCGCGUGAGGGAUGACGGUCCUAUGGAUUGUAAACCUCUUUUGUCAGGGAGCAAAGGGCGCCACGUGUGGCGCUUUGCGAGUACCUGAAGAAAAAGCAUCGGCUAACUCCGUGCCAGCAGCCGCGGUAAUACGGAGGAUGCGAGCGUUAUCCGGAUUUAUUGGGUUUAAAGGGUGCGCAGGUGGAAUGUCAAGUCAGCGGUAAAAUUUCGGGGCUCAACCCCGUCGUGCCGUUGAGACUGGCGUUCUUGAGUGAGCGAGAAGUAUGCGGAAUGCGUGGUGUAGCGGUGAAAUGCAUAGAUAUCACGCAGAACUCCGAUUGCGAAGGCAGCAUACCGGCGCUCAACUGACGCUCAUGCACGAAAGCGUGGGUAUCGAACAGGAUUAGAUACCCCGGUAGUC